UCGACUGAACAGAAAAUUGGAUAGGUCACACUGACUAAAACCCUUUCCUCCGUGCUCAAAUUCACUGAAAUCAAAGGGUUUCUUCAGCUUCUUCAUAAUAGUGGAAGUUCUAUGAAUCAUCAUAACAUGA